UACAGAGGUCCCGAGCGUUGUUCGGAUUCAUUGGGCGUAAAGGGUGCGUAGGCGGCUUUCUAAGUUUGAUGUGAAAUCCUGGGGCUCAACCCUGGAACUGCAUUGAAUACUGGGAGGCUAGAGGACUGGAGAGGAGACUGGAAUUCAUGGUGUAGCAGUGAAAUGCGUAGAGAUCAUGAGGAAGACCAGUGGCGAAGGCGGGUCUCUGGACAGUUCCGUGACGCUGAGGCACGAAGGCCAGGGGAGCAAACGGG
rnacentral:rRNA from 1 species